rnacentral:rRNA from 1 species
UAUUAUGGAGAGUUUGAUCCUGGCUCAGGACGAACGCUGGCGGCAUGCCUAAUACAUGCAAGUCGAGCG